rnacentral:rRNA from 1 species
UAUGAACGCUGGCGGCAGGCCUAACACAUGCAAGUCGAACGGAUCCUUCGGGAUUAGUGGCGGACGGGUGAGUAACGCGUGGGAACAUACCCUUUGGUACGGAAUAGCCUCGGGAAACUGGGAGCAAUACCGUAUGUGGUCGAGAGACGAAAGAUUUAUCGCCAAAGGAUUGGCCCGCGUUGGAUUAGGUAGUUGGUGGGGUAAUGGCCUACCAAGCCGACGAUCCAUAGCUGGUUUGAGAGGAUGAUCAGCCACACUGGGACUGAGACACGGCCCAGACUCCUACGGGAGGCAGCAGUGGGGAAUCUUAGACAAUGGGGGAAACCCUGAUCUAGCCAUGCCGCGUGAUCGAUGAAGGCCUUAGGGUUGUAAAGAUCUUUCAGGUGGGAAGAUAAUGACUGUACCACCAGAAGAAGCCCCGGCUAACUCCGUGCCAGCCGCCGCAGUAAUAC